rnacentral:rRNA from 1 species
UAAAGCGUGCGCAGCGGUUAUAUAAGACAGAUGUGAAAUCCCCGGGCUCAACCUGGGAACUGCAUUUGUGACUGUAUAGCUGGAGUGCGGCAGAGGGGGAUGGAAUUCCGCGUGUAGCAGUGAAAUGCGUAGAUAUGCGGAGGAACACCGAUGGCGAAGGCAAUCCCCUGGGCCUGCACUGACGCUCAUGCACGAAAGCGUGGGGAGCAAACAGGAUUAGAUACCCGAGU